GUUUUAUUCAUUUCGUUACCAAAUGAUCUUCUUCGCAGGCGUAGAUCAUUACUUUGCGCAAUAAUUUUGUUACGAUUCAAAGUGAUAUAUAUAAAAACAAAAUUCCCCUCAUUUAGCCGUCAAAUUUUUAUAAGGCUUUAAAUACAGUUGACGAUCCAAAAAUUGAAUAUAAAAAACUUCCCCGAGUCUAUUACUAUGGAAAAUUGAAUGGAGGAUUCUACGCAAUUGCAAUGUCUUUAUUUGAUGGGUCAUUUGCCGACUACUAUGAAAAAGUUGAUAAGACAAAAUUAUCGGAAAAUUAUUUGCGUAAUUUAGGUUAAAGGCUUGGAUUAUCUAAGGAUCAAAAACGUUGUACACAAUGAUAUUAAACCUCAAAAUUUGUUCUAUCGAAAAGUAGACGUGUUCAUUGGAGAUUUUAAUCUUGCUGCGAUAAAAGGUGCUCGCUCUGCAGGUGGCACGAUACUAUUUGGUUCAGUAAGUUCAUUCGCCAAUCAAACUCGACACCCUAUGGAUGAUUUUGAAUCGUUGGUCUAUUCGCUGUGGUUUCUCGCUGGCGUACCGUUAGAUCCAUGCAAGAAUCACGAACGAUUUGAAAAUUUUCUUCCUGAAGGCUACGCUUUAUUUAAACGCCUAGAAAAAAAAAUAAACAUGCUAGAGCGAGAUUAAUGGCCAGUCAAGACAUUUUUUUUGUACUUCCUUCGAAUUGGAAUUGGAAUUAAAUUGAAGCGUUUUUAUUUUAUUUUUAGAAAAAGCUGGAAUAUUUCAAGAAUCCCCAUGUUAGAGGUUUAUUCGAAGACAUUUGGGACAAGGAAUUGUUAACUAAGCACACAGUUCCAAAUUAUGAAGAAAUCACUUAUUUAAUCUUCGCUGCUAUAAGUGAGAUCAAUAAAAAUCGAAAAGGAAUGCAGGGCGACUGGCUUUCAGAUGGUAUAUGUGCAACUUUUGAAAAAAUUACGAAAAUUUGUGAAAGAUAAAUACAGUGAAAAAGAGCUCUGUUUAAAAAAAAUAAAUACAUUGCAUUUAUUUUUCAAAUGUUUCCACAGAAUAUAUUUA